UAGGGAAUCUUCGGCAAUGGACGAAAGUCUGACCGAGCAACGCCGCGUGAGUGAAGAAGGUUUUCGGAUCGUAAAACUCUGUUGUUAGAGAAGAACAAGGACGUUAGUAACUGAACGUCCCCUGACGGUAUCUAACCAGAAAGCCACGGCUAACUACGUGCCAGCAGCCGCGGUCAUACGUAGGUGGCAAGCGAUGUCCGGAUUUAUUGGGCGUAAAGCGAGCGCAGGCGGUUGCGUAAGUCUGGUGUGAAAGCCCCCGGCUCAACCGGGGAGGGUCAUUAGAAACUGGGAGGAUUGAGUGCAGGAGAGGAGAGUGGAAUUCCAUGUGUAGCAGUGAAGUGCGUAGAUAUAUGGAGGAACACCAGUGGCGAAGGCGGCUCUCUGGUCUGUAACUGACGCUGAGGCUCGAAAGCGUGGGGAGCAAACAGG
rnacentral:rRNA from 1 species